rnacentral:rRNA from 1 species
CCUACGGGAGGCAGCAGUGGGGAAUUUUGGACAAUGGGCGAAAGCCUGAUCCAGCCAUGCCGCGUGAGUGAAGAAGGCCUUCGGGUUGUAAAGCUCUUUCAGCCGGAAAGAAAGCGCAUGGGUGAAUAACCUGUGUGGAUGACGGUACCGGAAGAAGAAGCACCGGCUAACUACGUGCCAGCAGCCGCGGUAAUACGUAGGGUGCGAGCGUUAAUCGGAAUUACUGGGCGUAAAGCGUGCGCAGGCGGUUUUGUAAGACAGAUGUGAAAUCCCCGGGCUUAACCUGGGAAUUGCGCUUGUAACUGGCAAGCUAGAGUGUGGCAGAGGGGGGUGGAAUUCCACGUGUAGCAGUGAAAUGCGUAGAUAUGUGGAGGAACACCGAUGGCGAAGGCAGCCCCCUGGGUUAACACUGACGCUCAGGCACGAAAGCGUGGGGAGCAAACAGGAUUAGAUACCCUGGUAGUCCACGCCCUAAACUAUGUCAACUAGUUGUCGGGGAAGAAAUUCCUUGGUAACGAAGCUAACGCGUGAAGUCGACCGCCUGGGGAGUACGGCCGCAAGGUUAAAACUCAAAGGAAUUGACGG